UAGUCCUAUUGUCUAUAAGAAUUUUAUUGAUGUCCUCAGGUUCAUGGGUUGGCCAGAAACUAAACUCAAGGUCGACUUCUUCAUUACUAAUGUCAAUGGAUUUAUAAUUUUUUUCUUGAAUUAUAUUUGCAUUAAUAUGCUGGAUAGAUUCUUAUUCUAGAUUGAAUAUAUUCAGUUCAAUAGUCAUGUUCCCAAAAGAUAGCUUCAUAAAUCCAUUCUGACAGUUGAUUUCUGUAUUUGCAGUUGCUAAG
rnacentral:lncRNA from 1 species